rnacentral:rRNA from 1 species
GGGUUGUAGGACUGGGCGCGAGACUGCGAUGGAUAGCAGAAGCAACUGGAAAGUUGCGCAAGAUAGGGUAAUAGCCCCGUAUGCGAAAUCCAAAUCAGCUCUACCAGUAUCCUGAGUACGGCGGAACACGAGAAAUUCCGUCGGAAUCCGGGAGGACCAUCUCCCAAGGCUAAAUACUCCCUAGUGACCGAUAGUGAACCAGUACCGUGAGGGAAAGGUGAAAAGCACCCCGGAAGGGGAGUGAAACAGUACCUGAAACCGUGUGCCUACAAGUAGUCAAAGCCCGUUAAUGGGUGAUGGCGUACCUUUUGUAGAAUGGACCGGCGAGUUACGAUUUCAUGCAAGGUUAAGUCGAAAAGACGGAGCCGCAGCGAAAGCGAGUCUGAAUAGGGCGAAUAAGUAUGAGGUCGUAGACCCGAAACCAAGUGACCUACCCAUGUCCAGGUUGAAGGUGCGGUAAUACGCACUGGAGGACCGAACCCACGCACGUUGAAAAGUGCGGGGAUGAGGUGUGGGUAGCGGAGAAAUUCCAAUCGAACUUGGAGAUAGC